rnacentral:sRNA from 1 species
UAACUCAGUUGGUAGAGCAGUUGACUUUUACUCAAUUGGCCGCAGGUUCGAGCCGAGCGAAGCGAGACAACAACGCUCAGCGUUGGCCCGAAGGGUGAGGCCGGAGGCCGAAUAAUCCUGCACGACCCACCA